rnacentral:rRNA from 1 species
UACGUAGGGGGCAAGCGUUGUCCGGAAUUAUUGGGCGUAAAGAGCGUGUAGGCGGCCAGAUAAGUCCGCUGUGAAAUCUCGAGGCUCAACUUCGAGCUGUCGGUGGAAACUAUCUGGCUAGAGUCCGGAAGAGGAGAAUGGAAUUCCUGGUGUAGCGGUGAAAUGCGUAGAUAUCAGGAGGAACACCGGUGGCGAAGGCGGCCCUCUGGACGGUGACUGACGCUGAGACGCGAAAGCGUGGGGAGCAAACAGG